rnacentral:misc_RNA from 1 species
UCCCGCUUAACACGGGCAGUCUUCGUAGAGUGCCACAGCUUAACCCGGGGGCAACUACGGAUAGGGGUUGCGCUCGUUGCAGGACUUAACCCAACAUCUCACGACACGAGCUGACGACAACCAUGCACCACCUGUGAAGCGCCCUUGCGGACCUGAUAUCUCUACCAGUUUUCGCCCCAUGUCAAGCCUUGGUAAGGUUCUUCGCGUUGCAUCGAAUUAAUCCGCAUGCUCCGCCGCUUGUGCGGGCCCCCGUCAAUUCCUUUGAGUUUUAGCCUUGCGGCCGUACUCCCCAGGCGGGGCGCUUAAUGCGUUUGCUGCGGCACGGAACUCGUGGAAAGAGCCCCACACCUAGCGCCCAACGUUUACGGCAUGGACUAC